rnacentral:rRNA from 1 species
CCUACGGGUGGCAGCAGUGAGGAAUAUUGGUCAAUGGGCUUACGCCUGAACCAGCCAAGUCGCGUGAGGGAAGACUGCCCUAUGGGUUGUAAACCUCUUUUGUCAGGGAGCAACGCCGGCUACGUGUAGCCGGACUGAGAGUACCUGAAGAAAAAGCAUCGGCUAACUCCGUGCCAGCAGCCGCGGUAAUACGGAGGAUGCGAGCGUUAUCCGGAUUUAUUGGGUUUAAAGGAUGCGUAGGCGGAAUGCCAAGUCAGCGGUAAAAUCGCGGGGCUCAACCUCGCUCCGCCGUUGAAACUGGCGUGCUUGAGUGGGCGAGAAGUAUGCAGAAUGCGUGGUGUAGCGGUGAAAUGCAUAGAGAUCACGCAGAACUCCGAUUGCGAAGGCAGCAUACCGGCGCCCAACUGACGCUGAAGCACGAAAGCGUGGGUAUCGAACAGGAUUAGAUACCCGAGUAGUC